AUUGAACGCUGGCGGCAUGCCUUACACAUGCAAGUCGAACGGUAACAGGUCUUCGGAUGCUGACGAGUGGCGAACGGGUGAGUAAUACAUCGGAACGUGCCUAGUAGUGGGGGAUAACUACUCGAAAGAGUGGCUAAUACCGCAUGAGAUCUACGGAUGAAAGCAGGGGAUCGCAAGACCUUGUGCUACUAGAGCGGCCGAUGGCAGAUUAGGUAGUUGGUGGGAUAAAAGCUUACCAAGCCGACGAUCUGUAGCUGGUCUGAGAGGACGAUCGGCGCCACUGGGACUGAGACACGGCCCAGACUCCUACGGGCGGCAGCAGUGGGGAAUUUUGGACGAUGGGCGCAAGCCUGAUCCAGCAAUGCCGCGUGCAGGAUGAAGGCCUUCGGGUUGUAAACUGCUUUUGUACGGAACGAAAAGCCCCGGGUUAAUACCCUGGGGUCAUGACGGUACCGUAAGAAUAAGCACCGGCUAACUACGUGCCAGCAGCCGCGGUAA
rnacentral:rRNA from 1 species